rnacentral:misc_RNA from 1 species
AAGAAGGCAUCCAAGUAGUGAUUAGAGAUGUAAACUCUACCAAAGAGUGGAGCUUGAAGUUCAAGUUUUGGUCUAACAACAAGAGCAGAAUGUAUGUUCUUGAAAACACAGGAGAUUUUGUAAAGCAAAAUGGGCUGGAGAUGGGAGAUUCCCUUACACUUUACGAGGAUGAGUGCAAGAAUCUCGCGCAAAGAGGACGAGAGAAUUGGCCCAUUAAACAACAUAACCAGCAUUAGUUUCUAUCCUCAACCAGCACCUGCAGCUGUGCAAUCCUCAUCUUCACCACACAGUAUAACGAGAAUUCUAGAUGAUCACUAUAUUGAUGACUGCUAUACUGGCCUUGGUGUUCUUCCUGAUGUCAAUAGGUAUAAUUUUUCGCUAUGAUCAAAGCCUAUGGUAGGUUGGGAAGCUAUCAAGUUUAAUGACAAGGAAGUGGAGAAACAAGUGUGUGUUAAAUCAUGGCCAAUGAAGCGACUUGGAGGUUUAGUAAUAUGUUUUUUGCUCUAUACUGAUACCCAAUUGUUUCUGGACAGGGAACAUUUUUUUUUUUCUUUUCUGGUGUUUGGGAUGACAUAGAGGAGCUAG